rnacentral:rRNA from 1 species
AUUCUUGGUCAUUUAGAGGAAGUAAAAGUCGUAACAAGGUUUCCGUAGGUGAACCUGCGGAAGGAUCAUUAAUGGAAAAUAUUUACAUUGUAUGUGAAGGGUUGUAGCUAGCCUCUUUAGGAAUUGUGCACACCUGGAUCAUCAUGUAAUAACCAUUUAAUACUUUUAUUACCCUUGUGCACAACCUGUAGCUUGACCAUUUUAACAAAAUUGGUUUGAGUUAUGAAUGCUUUUCAAUUUACACAUUUUGAAGUUUGGGGUCAUUAUAUUAGAAUAAUAUAUAAUAACUUUCAGCAAUGGAUCUCUUGGCUCUUGCAUCGAUGAAGAACGCAGCGAAAUGCGAUAAGUAAUGUGAAUUGCAGAAUUCAGUGAAUCAUCGAAUCUUUGAACGCAUCUUGCACUCCUUGGUAUUCUGAGGAGUAUGCCUGUUUGAGUGUCAUAAAUUUAUCAACUACUUUGAUUUUAUCAAAGUGAAGUUGGACUAUGGAGGGUUUUAAUGCAGACAAAGCUUUUGCCUGCUCCUCCAAAAUAUAUUAUCUUGAGGCAAAUUCUCAUCAUCAAUGUGAUAAAUUUACAACAUUGUUUGAUAGUCUAUACAUACCCAAGUUUCAUAGAAAUAUAAAAUUUGACCUCAAAUCAGGUAGGACUACCCGCUGAACUUAAGCAUAUCAAUAAGCGGAGGA